GGGGAUUUAGCUCAGCGGCAUAAGCGCCUGCCUUACAAGCAGGCAGUCAUUCUUGAUCCCUA
rnacentral:tRNA from 1 species